UUUAUUAAUAAGAAGACCAAGUGAAAGUGGCUUCCCAUUACAUCCCACGAUCGAUCGUCAUAAUAUGUACACAUAUUUAUGUAUUGAAAGCUAUGCAACAAAUAUUAUAAGUGUAUAUAUAUAUAUAUAUAUAUAUAUAUAAAAGAAGUCGCAAUAUUUAAGCUAAGGGCUUCUGAAACUGAAACUGAAAAUGAUCAAAAAGAAGAAAAUGGAGAAUAAUAAUAUUGUUGUUGUGUUUCAUGGUUUGCCCUUAUUAUUAUUAUUAUUAUGCAUAAUGAUGAUGAUGAUGAGUUUCACUACUACUACGACAGCCACCAAUUGUAUCUAUAGUAGUAACCACCUAGCUCCACCACCACCACCGCCACCACCACCGUCUUCGCCGCCGCCAUCGCCGGGAAUAAUAUCACGACGCCUAUUGAGGAGGACUGUUUAUGAAGCACCACCACCGGACUUAUAUCAGUCGUCGCUUUACUACUACAAGUCUCCUCCACCUCCCAAACCCAAUCAUUACUAAUAUAAAUAUGAUGCUGAUGAUCGAAGGACAUGCAUGCAAAAUCAGUUCAAAGAUCGAAUUCAUAAUAAAGAGAGACCCAAUUCAUAUUGAUCAGUUGAAACUCAAUUAUCAUCGAGCGCUUCUUAAUUGAUUACUACUUUCCAUAUUA